rnacentral:lncRNA from 1 species
CUGGGGGCAGGUGGAACAAUCGUGCGGUCAGCUCCACCUGCCACAACCCUUCCUGAAAGAUCCAGGCCCACAGAAAAGCCAGGAUCCUGUCUUUAAAGACUGCUCUGCUCUCCCACCUCAUCCUGUGUCCAAUAACCGCACCUUCCAACAGCGUUUCUAACCCUGUUCUCUCCAAGCGUGGCCUGCAGCACCUCUCCAGGCCUCUCCAAUUGUUAGAGAAGGCUUGGAAUGGGCUUUACAAAGGCCUUUCUUGAGGAUAUAAUCACCUGUUCUCUGGUGCAGCUCCAGAGGCUCCCUCAUGCAAAGGCAAAGCUCACCACCUUUGUCCAAGCACAGGUGCUGACAGCUGCCUCACCUUAAGAGUCUCCUUUCGUUAUGGCAUCUGGAAAGAUCUCACAUGGCAGGCCUGCUUCUAGUUCCUUCUUCCUAGUGUGUCUGAGGAAAUCCAAUCUCUCCCACUCCAGCCCGCCUACUCAUUGAACAUGGCUGCUAUCUCUGUCUUCUGGAAACACGGCUCCAAUCCUGCAACAACUCUAUACAAGAGCUCCCAGAUAUAAUAAUGAAAAAGUUUGAGAUGCUGCAAGAAUUACCAAAAUGUGACACAGAGACAUGAAGUGAGCACACGCUUUUGGAAAAAUGGAGCAAACAGACUUGUUGGCUACAGGGUGACCACAAGCUUUCAAUUUGUAAAAAUAAAAAUGAGAAUUCCUCUAGUCCUCAGGCAUCCUGGUCCUCAGCACAGACCUCCUGUAAAGAACUUUCCGAGUUCAGUUUGGAUAAUUACGUUCUACGUGUCACCUCAACUCACCAUACCUGCAUCUUCUUAAAUAAUAGCUCUUUGGCCUAAAGACAUUAGUGAAAGCUUUCACUAGACCUUGAUGGCACUAUGGUCAUUAUCUUGUCAAAACUGUGGUGGAUUUGAAGAGCUAGUGAUGAAGAAUGGAGGUUUCCUGUCCUAGAAAUAACCAAAGGCCCAGGCUUGGAGGUGGCAGAAAAAGUGGCACUUAAGGAACAUGGACGGAGCUGGAGGCUACUAUCCUUAGCAAACUAAUGCAGGAACAGAAAACCAAAUGCUGCAUAUCUAAGUGGGAGCUGAAUGUUACUAGCCCAGUAUUUGGAAUUUGCCAAAGCUAUAUUCCUCAGAAUUUACUUCAAGAGCUCCUUUGUAUCGGCGGAGAAUGAAGAACGGAGAAGAGGAGGAGGAGGUUGAAAGAAACUUAAGAGAUGUGGCAACUAAUUGCAACGUGUAGAUUGUAUUUAGCUCAUGAUUCACACAAACUAGAUAUUUGUUAUUAAAGAAUUAUGGUUGUUUUUGGUGUGAUAUUAGUAUUGUGCUCACAUUUCUUAAGAAUCUAUCUUUAGAGAUAGGUGCUGAAAUUCUUGCAGAUGAAAUGACAUUAUCAUCUGAGAUGUGCUUCAAAAACAGUUAAAGGAGAUAUCGAUAAGAUGGCCUUGAAUUCACAAUUGCUGAAGAUGGGUAUAGG